rnacentral:misc_RNA from 1 species
GAUGAAGAACGUAGCGAAAUGCGAUAAGUAAUGUGAAUUGCAGAAUUCAGUGAAUCAUCGAAUCUUUGAACGCACAUUGCGCCCCCUGGUAUUCCGGGGGGCAUGCCUGUCCGAGCGUCAUUACAACCCUCAAGCUCAGCUUGGUGUUGGGCCCCGCCGCCCCGGCGGGCCCUAAAGUCAGUGGCGGUGCCGUCCGGCUCCGAGCGUAGUAAUUCUUCUCGCUCUGGAGGUCCGGUCGUGUGCUUGCCAGCAACCCCCAAUUUUUUUCAGGUUGACCUCGGAUCAGGUAGGAAUACCCGCUGAACUUAAGCAUAUCAAUAAGCGGAGGA